GCUGUGAGCUUUCUUGUGGAGAAGGAUUUUGACCACUUCAUGACUGAACUCCAGUGCACAGCAGUUUAAUGCCUACUUUGCCCUUUAGAAGAUUAUCAGAUGCAAAGUACUUAAUGCUACGCAUGGGCAGCAGAUGAUGCUGAAGCCUGGCCAAACUAUGGAAACAUCAAAAUUUCUGGAGCUGUUUCUUCCCGCCCUUCAUGGCCAGGCUCUCAGCUUCAUCCAGACG